CGUAGGUGGCAAGCGUUGUCCGGAAUUAUUGGGCGUAAAGCGCGCGCAGGCGGUCCUUUAAGUCUGAUGUGAAAGCCCACGGCUCAACCGUGGAGGGUCAUUGGAAACUGGGGGACUUGAGUACAGAAGAGAAGAGUGGAAUUCCACGUGUAGCGGUGAAAUGCGUAGAGAUGUGGAGGAACACCAGUGGCGAAGGCGACUCUUUGGUCUGUAACUGACGCUGAGGCGCGAAAGCGUGGGGAGCAAACAGGAUUAGAUACCCUGGUAGUCCACGCCGUAAACGAUGAGUGCUAAGUGUUAGAGGGUUUCCGCCCUUUAGUGCUGCAGCAAACGCAUUAAGCACUCCGCCUGGGGAGUACGGCCGCAAGGCUG
rnacentral:rRNA from 1 species